AUGAAGCUGGAAUCGCUAGUAAUCGCAGAUCAGAAUGCUGCGGUGAAUACGUUCCCGGGUCUUGUACACACCGCCCGUCACACCAUGGGAGUCGGAAAUGCCCGAAGUCGGUGACCCAACCGUUUACGGAGGGAGCUGCCGAAGGCAGGUCUGGUGACUGGGGUGAAGUCGUAACAAGGUAGC
rnacentral:rRNA from 1 species